rnacentral:rRNA from 1 species
CCUACGGGAGGCUGCAGUGGGGAAUAUUGCACAAUGGGCGCAAGCCUGAUGCAGCCAUGCCGCGUGUGUGAAGAAGGCCUUCGGGUUGUAAAGCACUUUCAGCGGGGAGGAAGGCGUUAAGGUUAAUAACCUUGGCGAUUGACGUUACCCGCAGAAGAAGCACCGGCUAACUCCGUGCCAGCAGCCGCGGUAAUACGGAGGGUGCAAGCGUUAAUCGGAAUUACUGGGCGUAAAGCGCACGCAGGCGGUCUGUCAAGUCGGAUGUGAAAUCCCCGGGCUCAACCUGGGAACUGCAUUCGAAACUGGCAGGCUAGAGUCUUGUAGAGGGGGGUAGAAUUCCAGGUGUAGCGGUGAAAUGCGUAGAGAUCUGGAGGAAUACCGGUGGCGAAGGCGGCCCCCUGGACAAAGACUGACGCUCAGGUGCGAAAGCGUGGGGAGCAAACAGGAUUAGAUACCUAGUAGUC